rnacentral:rRNA from 1 species
GACGAACGCUGGCGGCGUGCUUAACACAUGCAAGUCGAACGGAAAGGCCCUGCUUUUGUUGGGGGCUCGGGUGGCGAACGGGUGGAUCACGCGUGAGAAACCUGCCUGUGACUUUGGGAUAACUUCUAUAAACUGGGGAUAAUGCGUGUAAUUCGCGCCUGCUGCGUGGUGGGGGUUGGGAAGUUGCGGCGGUUGGGGUUGGAGUCGGGGCUUAUCAGGCUGGUGGUGGGGUAGUGGGUUAGCAAGGCGGUGACGGGUAGCCGGCCUGAUAGGCGGACCGGACACAUUGGGACUGAGAUAAGGCCCAGAAGCAUACGGGAGGAAGCAGUGGUGAAUAUUGCACAAUGGGCGGAAGCCUGAUGCAGCAACGACGGGUGCGGGAUGACGGCCUUCUGGUGGUAAACCGCUUUCGCCUGUGACGAAGCGUGAGUGACGGUAAUGGGUAAAGAAGCACCGGCUAACUACGUG